UGAAGCAUUAGAAACAGUCUGUUUUAUUAAGAUGGUUGUUUUAUUUUUUUUUUAAUUUGAGUAAGAUCUGAGAAUUAAAAAUGACAGAUCUCACAAUACAGUUAGAUAUAUCAAGAACACAGAUACCUGGCAGGAAAUGAUGCUAUAUAGGUAGCCUGGGACCACAUCUUAAGGGUUAUGUAUGCCAUUUCAAAAAGCAGGCCCUAAUCCUGAAGUUAAUGGGCAGUCCUGGAAUAUUCACAAGCAAGGAAGAGAAAUGAUCAGACCUACCUUCUACAGCAAAACUUACAGGCCUACUCAGCUACUCUCCAAUACCUGGCUUCCCGUGUAGCAUGUUUGGAGGGAGAAAGUGCACGGAUCUUCUGAUGUGAGUGUUCUGGCCUGCUUUGCAAAUUAAACUGUCUUUGCAAAUAAUUUUUUUACAGAUGAAUAAAUGGACUUCUGGUUUAUGCAUGUUA